rnacentral:rRNA from 1 species
CAGUCGCCGCGGUAAUACGGAGGGUGCAAGCGUUAAUCGGAAUUACUGGGCAUAAAGCGUGCGUAGGCGGUUCGUUAAGUCUGUUGUGAAAGCCCCGGGCUCAACCUGGGAAUGGCAAUGGAUACUGGCGAGCUAGAGUGUGUCAGAGGAUGGUGGAAUUCCCGGUGUAGCGGUGAAAUGCGUAGAGAUCGGGAGGAACAUCAGUGGCGAAGGCGGCCAUCUGGGACAACACUGACGCUGAGGCACGAAAGCGUGGGGAGCAAACAGGAUUAGAUACCCGUGUAGUCCCUGUCUCUUAUAA